rnacentral:rRNA from 1 species
GAUGAACGCUGGCGGCGUGCCUAAUACAUGCAAGUCGAGCGAACAGACGAGGAGCUUGCUCCUCUGACGUUAGCGGCGGACGGGUGAGUAACACGUGGAUAACCUACCUAUAAGACUGGGAUAACUUCGGGAAACCGGAGCUAAUACCGGAGAAUAUAUUGAACCGCAUGGUUCAAUAGUGAAAGACGGUUUUGCUGUCACUUAUAGAUGGAUCCGCGCCGCAUUAGCUAGUUGGUAAGGUAACGGCUUACCAAGGCAACGAUGCGUAGCCGACCUGAGAGGGUGAUCGGCCACACUGGAACGGAGACACGGUCCAGACUCCUACGGGAGGCAGCAGUAGGGAAUCUUCCGCAAUGGGCGAAAGCCUGACGGAGCAACGCCGCGUGAGUGAUGAAGGUCUUCGGAUCGUAAAACUCUGUCAUUAGUGAAGAACAAAUGUGUAAGUAACUAUGCACGUCUUGACGGUACCUAAUCAGAAAGCCACGGCUAACUACGUG